AGUGAACGCUGGCGGUAGGCCUAACACAUGCAAGUCGAACGGCAGCACAGUAAGAGCUUGCUCUUACGGGUGGCGAGUGGCGGACGGGUGAGGAAUACAUCGGAAUCUACUUUUUCGUGGGGGAUAACGUAGGGAAACUUACGCCAAUACCGCAUACGACCUACGGGUGAAAGCAGGGGAUCUUCGGACCUUGCGCGAUUGAAUGAGCCGAUGUCGGAUUAGCUGGUUGGCGGGGUAAAGGCCCACCAAGGCGACGAUCCGUAGCUGGUCUGAGAGGAUGUGCAGCCACACUGGAACUAAGACACGGUCCAGACUCCGACGGGGGGCAGCAGGGGGGAAUAUUGGACAAUGGGCGCAGGCCUGAUCCAGCCAUGCCGGGGGGGUGAAGAAGGCCUUCGGGUUGUAAACCCCUUUUGUUGGGAAAGAAAAGCAGCAGGUUAAUACCCCGCUGUUCUGACGGUACCCAAAGAAGAGGCACCGGCAAACUUCGUG
rnacentral:rRNA from 1 species